rnacentral:rRNA from 1 species
GAUGAACGCUGGCGGCGUGCCCAAUACACGCAAGUCGAACGAACGGACGAGAAGUUUGUUUCUUUGAUGUUAGCGGAGGACGGGUGAGUAACUCGAGUAUCACCCACCUAUCAUACUGGGAUAACUACGGGAAACCGGCUCUUAUCCCGGAUAAUAUUUUGAACCGACUGGUUCGAACGUGAAAGUCGGUCUUGCUGUCACUAAUAGCUACAUCCGAGCUGCAUUAGCUAGUUGGUAAGGUAACGGGUUAUCAAGGCAACGAUGCAUAGCCGACGGGAGAGGGUGAUCGGCGACACGGGAACUGAGACUCGGUCCUGACUCCUGCGGUAGGCAGCAGUAGCGAAUCGUCCGCAAUGGUCGAGAGCCUGACAGAACAACGCGACGUGAGUGAUGAAGGUCCUCGGAUCGUAAAGCUCUGUUAUGAGGGAAGAACAUAUGUGUAAUUUACUGUGCACAUAUUGACGGUACCUAGUCAAAAAGCCACGGCUAACUACGUG